rnacentral:rRNA from 1 species
UCCUACGGGAGGCAGCAGUAGGGAAUCUUCCGCAAUGGACGAAAGUCUGACGGAGCAACGCCGCGUGAGUGAUGAAGGCUUUCGGGUCGUAAAACUCUGUUGUUAGGGAAGAACAAGUGCUAGUUGAAUAAGCUGGCACCUUGACGGUACCUAACCAGAAAGCCACGGCUAACUGCGUGCCAGCAGCCGCGGUAAUACGUAGGUGGCAAGCGUUAUCCGGAAUUAUUGGGCGUAAAGCGCGCGCAGGUGGUUUCUUAAGUCUGAUGUGAAAGCCCACGGCUCAACCGUGGAGGGUCAUUGGAAACUGGGAGACUUGAGUGCAGAAGAGGAAAGUGGAAUUCCAUGUGUAGCGGUGAAAUGCGUAGAGAUAUGGAGGAACACCAGUGGCGAAGGCGACUUUCUGGUCUGUAACUGACACUGAGGCGCGAAAGCGUGGGGAGCAAACAGGAUUAGAUACCCUGGUAGUUCACGCCGUAAACGAUGAGUGCUAAGUGUUAGAGGGUUUCCGCCCUUUAGUGCUGAAGUUAACGCAUUAAGCACUCCGCCUGGGGAGUACGGCCGCAAGGCUGAAACUCAAAGGAAUU